rnacentral:rRNA from 1 species
GACGAACGCUGGCGGCGUGCUUAACACAUGCAAGUCGAACGGAAAGGCCUCUUUCGGGGGGUACUCGAGUGGCGAACGGGUGAGUAACACGUGAGUAACCUGCCCUUGACUUUGGGAUAACUUCAGGAAACUGGGGCUAAUACCGGAUAGGAGCUCCUGCUGCAUGGUGGGGGUUGGAAAGUUUCGGCGGUUGGGGAUGGACUCGCGGCUUAUCAGCUUGUUGGUGGGGUAGUGGCUUACCAAGGCUUUGACGGGUAGCCGGCCUGGGAGGGUGACCGGCCACAUUGGGACUGAGAUACGGCCCAGACUCCUACGGGAGGCAGCAGGGGGGAAUAUUGCACAAUGGGUGGAAGCCUGAUGCAGCAACGCCGUGUGCGGGAUGACGGCCUUCGGGUUGUAAACCGCUUUCGCUCAUGACGAAGCUUUGUGUGACGGUAGUGGGUAAAGAAGCACCGGCUAACUACGUG